CAUUAUGGAGUUUUAUGUUUGUAAAUAUUUAAAUACAUACAUCUUAUUAUAUGACGUGAUACAAUAAUACUUUAAAUUCAUCUUGACUUUAUUUUUAUAAUUGUAUACAUUUCUUUUAUAUAUGUAUAUAGAUACAUGUAUAAUUUUUAAACGAUAAUACGCCUGAUUUAUUUUAAUUAUCGUAGAUCCCGUCUACUACUCGACGCCUUCAUCGUCGUUACAGUCGUCGUGCUGUCGAUGCGAAGAGGAAAAAAUUGGAAGAAGGAGCGAGACGAAGCUGCUGGCACAGGUUGUUGGUGAUGAUAGAUACAACAACGGCAUCAUCCUCCGUCAGGUGGUCGUCGCGAUCGUCGCCCCUCCGGUACGACGAAUCCGCUCGAAGAGGUGUCCAACGACUGCCAUAUAUAUAUAUAUAUAUGGUACGCGCUGAGCGAUUAUUCCGUCGCACCGCAGCUCCUUCGAACCCGGCGCUUCAUUUAUUCUCGUCGAGAAUCUCUUGGAUGCUCACGUAAGUACCGGUCAAAAAGCCCAGCACGCCGAACGAGAUGAUAGCCAAGUUCUUCCACAGUUUCCAGUAACAGGCGCCCAAUCCGUUUUCCUGAUCCCACACGGUGACCAGUUCGAUCACCGACGGGAACAUCAAGCCAAGGGUGGACAGGCAUACGGCGCCUACCAAGGAAAUGAACGGACCCAAGUUUGAUUAUCUCCAUGGGCACGUAAAAUUGGAGGCCGUAGGUGAGGAAGAUGGCCACGGCGAUCAUCAAUUUGGCGGAUUGGGCAAGGAUAUCGCUCUGCUCGGGGUUCAAUGUGAUCGAGGCUUUCGUGUCCUCGCCGUAUCUCCAGUAACCGAAGAAACCUACGGUGCUGUAUAACAAUACCACGAAGAACAUGCCGGUGUUCAGGACACCUGGGCAACCGAUGAAGUGCGUCGGUGUCUUCAUGUUGUUCUCGAGGGGCAUUACCUGUGAAAAGUGAAAUUAUUAGAAAGUCUAUCAGAAUGUAGAACUUUGGAUUUUCGUCAACGUUUCUUUUUUGUGUCAAAAUUUUUAACAAUUUUGAUAAAUUUUUACUUCCAUGAAAUUUGUAAUAAAUGUAGGAAAUAACGAGUCAAUCUAAAAUUCUUUCUGAGAAGAUAUAAAUUUUGUGAAUAUAUAUAUAUAUGUAUAUAUGUGUGUAUGAUGUAAGGAAAUUGAAAAAUAUUUUGAUUAAGAAAUCCAAAGAAUGUCCUUAGCAUCGUUGUCGAUCAUAUGACGAGCCUGUCAUAUGAUCCAAUGGAAUUUUACGAUUAUGACAAUGGUGCUUGUUGAUUUUGUUAUCAUAUUGAAUGAAAUAAUUGGUAUGCUUUGAAAGGAAUACACGUAACAAAAGUUAAACGUAAGAUUUGCUGUUAUGCGUCUUUCUUGUAACAAAUCGCAGUAAUCGUAUUACGUGUGAUGAUAAAUUCAACAAAAGGAUUUGCAGUUCUUGUUUCUUGUUAUACGCCAUUAUAUAAUAGCUUGCGUCUAUUACAUGGUACUUUUACGUCUUAAAAACCAAUGGCUUAUUUAAAGACAGAUAUUAUUUUAUAAUAUUUCAUUUCAGGUAUAAUAUAUUAUAUAAUAACGUA
rnacentral:lncRNA from 11 species